CCUACGGGAGGCAACAGUGAGGAAUAUUGGUCAAUGGGCGCGAGCCUGAACCAGCCAAGUAGCGUGAAGGAUGACUGCCCUACGGGUUGUAAACUUCUUUUAUAAAUGACUAAAGUGAGGCACGUGUGCCUUUUUGUAUGUACUUUAUGAAUAAGGAACGGCUAACUCCUUGCCAGCAGCCGCGGUACUCCGGAGGAACCGAGCGUCAUACGGAUUUAUUGGGUUUAAAGGGAGCGUAGAUGGGUUGUUAAGUCAGUUGUGAAAGUUUGCGGCUCAACCGUAAAAUUGCAAUUGAUACUGGCAGCCUUGAGUACAGUUGAGGUAGGCGGAAUUCGUGGUGUAGCGGUGAAAUGCUUAGAUAUCACGAAGAACUCCGAUUGCGAAGUCAGCUUACUAAACUGCCACUGACAUUGAUGCUCGAAAGUGUGGGUAUCAAACAGGAUUAGAUACCCGGGUAGUC
rnacentral:rRNA from 1 species